rnacentral:rRNA from 1 species
CGUCUGGAAAGGCGCGCGAUACAGGGUGACAGCCCCGUACACAAAAAUGCACAUAUUGUGAGCUCGAUGAGUAGGGCGGGACACGUGGUAUCCUGUCUGAAUAUGGGGGGACCAUCCUCCAAGGCUAAAUACUCCUGACUGACCGAUAGUGAACCAGUACCGUGAGGGAAAGGCGAAAAGAACCCCGGCGAGGGGAGUGAAAAAGAACCUGAAACCGUGUACGUACAAGCAGUGGGAGCACGCUUAGGCGUGUGACUGCGUACCUUUUGUAUAAUGGGUCAGCGACUUAUAUUCUGUAGCAAGGUUAACCGAAUAGGGGAGCCGAAGGGAAACCGAGUCUUAACUGGGCGUUAAGUUGCAGGGUAUAGACCCGAAACCCGGUGAUCUAGCCAUGGGCAGGUUGAAGGUUGGGUAACACUAACUGGAGGACCGAACCGACUAAUGUUGAAAAAUUAGCGGAUGACUUGUGGCUGGGGGUGAAAGGCCAAUCAAACCGGGAGAUAGCUGGUUCUCCCCGAAAGCUAUUUAGGUAGCGCCUCGUGAAUUCAUCUCCGGGGGUAGAGCACUGUUUCGGCAAGGGGGUCAUCCCGACUUACCAACCCGAUGCAAACUGCGAAUACCGGAGAAUGUUAUCACGGGAGACACACGGCGGGUGCUAACGUCCGUCGUGAAGAGGGAAACAACCCAGACCGCCAGCUAAGGUCCCAAAGUCAUGGUUAAGUGGGAAACGAUGUGGGAAGGCCCAGACAGCCAGGAUGUUGGCUUAGAAGCAGCCAUCAUUUAAAGAAAGCGUAAUAGCUCACUGGUCGAGUCGGCCUGCGCGGAAGAUGUAACGGGGCUAAACCAUGCACCGAAGCUGCGGCAGCGACGCUUAUGCGUUGUUGGGUAGGGGAGCGUUCUGUAAGCCUGCGAAGGUGUGCUGUGAGGCAUGCUGGAGGUAUCAGAAGUGCGAAUGCUGACAUAAGUAACGAUAAAGCGGGUGAAAAGCCCGCUCGCCGGAAGACCAAGGGUUCCUGUCCAACGUUAAUCGGGGCAGGGUGAGUCGACCCCUAAGGCGAGGCCGAAAGGCGUAGUCGAUGGGAAACAGGUUAAUAUUCCUGUACUUGGUGUUACUGCGAAGGGGGGACGGAGAAGGCUAUGUUGGCCGGGCGACGGUUGUCCCGGUUUAAGCGUGUAGGCUGGUU